rnacentral:rRNA from 1 species
UCCAGACUCCUACGGGAGGCAGCAGUGGGGGAUAUUGCACAAUGGGGGGAACCCUGAUGCAGCGACGCCGCGUGGGUGAAGGAGCGUUUCGGCGCGUAAAGCCCUCUCGGCAGGGAAGAAGGAGGACGGUACCUGACUAAGAAGCCCCGGCUAACUGCGUGCCAGCAGCCGCGGUAAUACGUAGGGGGCAAGCGUUAUCCGGAUUUACUGGGUGUAAAGGGAGCGUAGACGGCGAUGCAAGCCAGAUGUGAAAGCCCGGGGCCCAACCCCGGGACUGCUCUUGGAACUGCGCGGCUGGAGUGCAGGAGGGGCAGGCGGAAUUCCCGGUGUAGCGGUGAAAUGCGUAGAUAUCAGGAGGAACACCGGUGGCGAAGGCGGCCUGCUGGACUGCGACUGACGUUGAGGCCCGAAAGCGUGGGGAGCAAGCAGGAUUAGAUACCCGCGUAGU